GAUCUUUAUUUUUAUUUUUUAUAAAUUAAAAAGAUUAAAUAAAUUUAUAAUAAAAUUAAAAAUUUUAUUGGGGUGAUAUUAAAAUUUAAAAAACUUUUAAUUUUAAUUACAUUAAUUUAUGAAUAAUUGAUCCAAUUUUAUUGAUUAAAAAUUUAAGUUACCUUAGGGAUAACAGCGUAAUUUUUUUUUAGAGUUCAUAUCGACAAAAAAGAUUGC
rnacentral:rRNA from 1 species